rnacentral:rRNA from 1 species
AGUCGAACGGCAGCGCGGACUUCGGUCUGGCGGCGAGUGGCGAACGGGUGAGUAAUACAUCGGAACGUGUCCUGUAGUGGGGGAUAGCCCGGCGAAAGCCGGAUUAAUACCGCAUACGCUCUACGGAGGAAAGGGGGGGAUCUUAGGACCUCUCGCUACAGGGGCGGCCGAUGGCAGAUUAGCUAGUUGGUGGGGUAAAGGCCUACCAAGGCGACGAUCUGUAGCUGGUCUGAGAGGACGACCAGCCACACUGGGACUGAGACACGGCCCAGACUCCUACGGGAGGCAGCAGUGGGGAAUUUUGGACAAUGGGCGCAAGCCUGAUCCAGCAAUGCCGCGUGUGUGAAGAAGGCCUUCGGGUUGUAAAGCACUUUUGUCCGGAAAGAAAUCCUUUGAGCUAAUACCUCGGGGGGAUGACGGUACCGGAAGAAUAAGCACCGGCUAACUACGUGCCAGCAGCCGCGGUAAUACGUAGGGUGCAAGCGUUAAUCGGAAUUACUGGGCGUAAAGCGUGCGCAGGCGGUUCGCUAAGACAGAUGUGAAAUCCCCGGGCUUAACCUGGGAACUGCAUUUGUGACUGGCGGGCUAGAGUAUGGCAGAGGGGGGUAGAAUUCCACGUGUAGCAGUGAAAUGCGUAGAGAUGUGGAGGAAUACCGAUGGCGAAGGCAGCCCCCUGGGCCAAUACUGACGCUCAUGCACGAAAGCGUG